AGUGAACGCUGGCGGUAGGCCUAACACAUGCAAGUCGAACGGCAGCACAGUAAGAGCUUGUUCUUACGGGUGGCGAGUGGCGGACGGGUGAGGAAUACAUCGGAAUCUACUUUUUCGUGGGGGAUAACGUAGGGAAACUUACGCUAAUACUGCAUACGACCUACGGGUGAAAGCAGGGGAUCUUCGGACCUUGCGCGAGUGUAUGAGCCGAUGUCGGAUUAGCUAGUUGGCGGGGUAAAGGCCCACCAAGGCGACGAUCCGUAGCUGGUCUGAGAGGAUGAUCAGCCACACUGGAACUGAGACACGGUCCAGACUCCUGCGGGAGGCAGCAGUGGGGAAUAUUGGACAAUGGGCGCAAGCCUGAUCCAGCCAUACCGCGUGGGUGAAGAAGGCCUUCGGGUUGUAAAGCCCUUUUGUUGGGAAAGAAAAGCAGCAGGUUAAUACCCCGCUGUUCUGACGGUACCCAAAGAAUAAGCACCGGCUAACUUCGUG
rnacentral:rRNA from 1 species